AUUCCCACAAACCCUGCUGACUUGACCCCAUUGGCCCAGACCCCUGUUCCCUGCCACUGGAUGAGGGCUCCUGCACUGCCUACACCCUGCGCUGGUACCAUCGGGCUGUGACAGGCAGCACAGAGGCCUGUCACCCUUUUGUCUAUGGUGGCUGUGGAGGGAAUGCCAACCGUUUUGGGACCCGUGAGGCCUGCGAGCGCCGCUGCCCACCCCGGGUGGUCCAGAGCCAGGGGACAGGUACUGCCCAGGACUGAGGCCCAGAUAAUGAGCUGAGAUUCAGCGUCCCCUGGAGGAGUCGGGGACUCAGCAGAACCCCACUGUCCCUCCCCUUGGUGCUAGAGGCUUGUGUGCAUGUGAGCGUGCGUGUGCACGUCCGUUAUUUCAAUGACUUGGUCCCGUGGGUCUAGCCUUCCCCCCUGUGGACAAACCCCCAUUGUGGCUCCUGCCACCCUGGCAGAUGACUCACUGUGGGGGGUGGCUGUGGGCAGUGAGCGGAUGUGACUGGUGUCUGACCCGCCCCUUGACCCAAGCCUGUGAUGACAUGGUGCUGAUUCUGGGGGGCAUUAAAGCUGCUGUUUUAAAAGGC
rnacentral:sRNA from 1 species